rnacentral:misc_RNA from 1 species
UCCGAGUUGACCCCGGCAGUCUCCUGCGAGUCCCCGCCAUUACGCGCUGGCAACACAGGACAAGGGUUGCGCUCGUUGCGGGACUUAACCCAACAUCUCACGACACGAGCUGACGACAACCAUGCACCACCUGUAAACCGGCCCCGAAGGGAAACCGCAUUUCUGCGGCGGUCCGGUCCAUGUCAAGCCUUGGUAAGGUUCUUCGCGUUGCAUCGAAUUAAUCCGCAUGCUCCGCCGCUUGUGCGGGCCCCCGUCAAUUCCUUUGAGUUUUAGCCUUGCGGCCGUACUCCCCAGGCGGGGCACUUAAUGCGUUAGCUACGGCGCGGAAAACGUGGAAUGUCCCCCACACCUAGUGCCCAACGUUUACGGCAUGGACUAC